UGCUAGGACCUGCCUUUGAGGAGACCAGGCCUUGUGGGUCUGGUUUGCAGCUCUGGCACCACUCAGGGCCCUGCUCCCCUACUUCCCUGCUGCCACACGACUCAGCCUUGGCACCGAACCAAAGCUGAUGGAAAAAUUAACCAUCUGGAGCAUUGUCCCUCUCAUGGCAGAAAGAAAAUGACAAGGCAAAUGGUGCCCUGACUUCCAGAACUCAGCACAAAAGUGACCAACAUCACUUCUUUGACUAACACAAGGAAUAUAGGCAUUCCUAAGUUCAAUGGCAUGGGAAUGCAUCCUCCACAGAGAGGAACGUGACCGGAAAGAAACUGAAACGUUUAGUGAAUGAGAACACAUCUCUACCACCUUCUCCUAGGAGGACUUCUUUCUCAGAGGGAAUGCAAACCAGGGCAGCCGCUGUGGAAGACAGGAGAGAGGUGCCUCCAGGCAUUAAACGUAGACUUACCAUAGGAUCCAGCAAUUCUGCUUCUGGAUUGACACUCAGAAGUGAAAGCGGUAUCUCAAAAAG